GAUGAACGCUGGCGGCGUGCCUAAUACAUGCAAGUCGAGCGAAGCGGGGACGGGUGAGUAACAUGUGGAAAACCUCUUAUAAGGCGGGGAAACCUUUGGGAACGCGGACCUAUCCCCGUAACUUCUAGAUGGAUCUGCGCUGCAUUAGCUAGUUGGUACGGUAACGGCUUACCAAGGCAACGAUGCAUAGCGGACCUGAGAGGAUGAUCGGCCACACUGGAACUGAGACACGGUCCAGACUCCUACGGGAGGCAGCAGUAGGGAAUCUUCCACAAUGGGCGAAAGCCUGACGCAGCCACGCCGCGUGAAUGAUGAAGGUCUUCGGAUCGUAAAGCUCUGUUAGUAGGGAAGCGGUACCUAAACAGAAAGCCACGGCUAACUACGUGCCAGCCGCCGCGGUAAUAC
rnacentral:rRNA from 1 species